rnacentral:rRNA from 1 species
UACGUAGGGUGCAAGCGUUAAUCGGAAUUACUGGGCGUAAAGCGUGCGCAGGCGGUUUGUAAGACAGAGGUGAAUCCCGGGCUCAAACCUCGGGAACUGCCUUGUGACUGCAAGGCUGAGUGCGGCAGAGGGGAUGGGAAUUCCGCGUGUAGCAGUGAAUGACGUAGAGAUGUGGAGGAACACCGAUGGCGAAGGCAGCCCCUGGCUAACACUGACGCUCAGUGCACGAAAGCGUGGGAGCAACAG